rnacentral:rRNA from 1 species
UACGAGAGGCCCAAACGUUAUUCGGAAUUACUGGGCUUAAAGAGUUCGUAGGCGGCAUUGCAAGUAGGGUGUGAAAGCCCUCGGCUCAACCGAGGAAUUGCGCUCUAAACUGCAGUGCUUGAGGACCUAGAGGUGAGCAGAACAGAUGGUGGAGCGGUGAAAUGCGUUGAUAUCAUCUGGAAUACCGGAGGCGAAGGCGGCUCACUGGGAGUUUUCUGACGCUGAGGAACGAAAGCCAGG